UAGUGAUUUGAUUAAAGAGGAAUAAUAAUUUGAUUAUAAGAAGAAUAAUAAUUUGGUUCAAUUCAAUUCAGUUUGAUUCAACUCUUGUUGCUUCUCACUUGCCUUUCUCUCUCCUGUUUAUUGCACACACUAUUCCUCGUUUGUCAUCUCGCCCAUCCAGCAUCCUGACAAUGACACUAGUACGAGGGAAAGACAUUGGAGCAUUUCUAGAGCAAAAGCAAAAGCAAAUGCAAUUACAAUUACAAUUACAAUUUUAUUUUAUUUUUAUUUUUAUUAUUAUUUUAUUUUAUUUUAUUUCGUUUAAUUUAAUUUAAUUUAAUUUAAUUUAAUUCGAUUUUAUUUAUUUUCUUUUAAUUUUUCCUUUGUUUCCUUUUCUUUCACGGCCGCCCUACAAAAUUUUCUUCUUCCUCAUCCAAACAGUCAGACGGCCGAACACAAAACAAGAGCAAAUGCUAGAUGCUCAUGAAAAAGUAAAACUAAACUCGAUUGACUUUUGAGACUAUAUGCACAUCAGCCUUUCCUUUUGUUUGUUUUUUUGUUUUUUUUAUUCUUUUGUUUUGUUUUUCUUCUCUUUACUUUUCUUACCAGCCCUAAAAUUCUGUGGGUUUGUGAUAUCACUAUAUUUCGUUAUACCACUCUUUUAAUGACAUCUGUAUAUCUCGUUAUCUUCAUCUUUUCAGUGACUUCGCUGUACCUCUUUAUAUCCCUUUGCUACUUGUUUAGUUAGUUGGUCUAGUUUUUUGUAGCAUUCGUUAUUAGUAAGAUCCUUUUGUGGCUUUGUUUGUACUUUGCUUUGAAUCGAACGGUUUUUCCUUUUAUUUUUUAUUUUUUAUUUUUUAUUCGCUGGCUAUAUUGCUUCAAACCAUUUCUUACAUUCGAAUGGUUUUUUUGUUUUUUAAGCAUAAAAACAUAUAACAUUCACUCUUUGACUAGAAUUCAAAACAAUUGCCAACAUCUUUUUGAUUUUUCUUCUUUUUCUUUUCCAAUCCAUCAAUGUUUCUAUCAAUGUCUUACAAUUCUCUCUCUAUCCAUCUUUCAUCUCAUCUUUUUCUUCCUCUUAUUACAGACAGACACCUUCUUCGCUCACUCUUUCCUACUCUCUCUCUCUCUCUUCCUUUGGCCGCUCCACGUUUCAUUCCAUUUACCGGCCUUCCUUAUUUCUCGGUAAUGGUUUUUCCGAUCGUCACGGUAUUGCUCUUGUCUCUUUCUUUACCCACCUUGGCGCGCCCUCGGCACUUGACUUGACUUGAUUGCCGACAAAGUCAAGGUGUAACAUAAUGGAUCUGCCCCAUCAAACUUUUUCCUUCCUCCAAUCGUUGGCCUUAAAUUUACUUUUCUUCCAAUAAGCUUUUCAUCUGCGUUUAAACAUUUUUGCUUCGGUUGAUGCAUCUGACGUGCUUGGGUAACACCUUUUGCUCGUUGGAAGAUUUUGCACUUGGUUUUCAAUUUCCGCUAUACUUUUGUUACCGGUCUUUAUCAUACUUGCACUAUACAAUAUUAUCGCAAAUAUUUAACGUCUCGUUGGUUUCGCCGAAGGACCGCCCCGCGGCUGUCUCGGUUCACUCUCCAACAGUACUCCAGACUGUGGUAACGUGUUUGUAUGCAGCGUAGAAGGAUUUGUUUAUAAGAUUUCAAUCUUUUUUCUUUUUCUUUUUUUUUUCUUGGUUUUAGAAUUUUUAUUUUUAUAUAUUUAUUGAUUAAUUGAUUUACUUAUUGAUAGAUUGGUUGGUUCAUUUUUUUUCUUUCAUCUUUUUCCAAUCUAUAUGUAUGUGUAUAUAAAUAUUUUUUAUUUUAUUAUUUAUUUUUUAUUUAUUUAUUUUUUUCAUUUCCCUCUAUUUAUUCACUCCGGAUCACUUCCAUCCUUAUGUUAUUUUAAAAAAAAAUUUUUUUUUUCUUGUUCUAUACUUCUGUUUAUUUUCAUGUCCUUUUCAUUUCGUUCAAUUAAUUUCAUUCCAU